rnacentral:rRNA from 1 species
CAGCCGCCACGGUAAUACGAAGGGGGCUAGCGUUGUUCGGAAUUACUGGGCGUAAAGGGCGCGUAGGCGGCCAUUCAAGUUGGAUGUGAAAGCCCUGGGCUCAACCUAGGAAUUGCAUUUGAUACUGUUUGGCUUGAGUUCGGGAGAGGUGAGUGGAAUUCCCAGUGUAGAGGUGAAAUUCGUAGAUAUUGGGAAGAACACCAGUGGCGAAGGCGGCUCACUGGACCGACACUGACGCUGAGGCGAGAAAGCGUGGGGAGCAAACAGGAUUAGAUACCCCGGUAGUCCCUGUCUCUUAUAC